ensembl:lncRNA
GUUAGUUUGAAAAGGACAGCAGGACGCAGAGCCGGGCGGGAUUUAUAUUCACAGGAUGGUUUUAUUUUCACCUGCUGGCUGAAGAUGUCUGAGAGUUAACUGGCUGACGAGGACUCCCCUCCCUGCCUCCAGCUGCAGCCAUGAACGAACCGUCCUGGUUUCUGCAUCCAAACCAGCUGCAUUAAAGCACCUGUCCAGGUAAACCCUGUUCUACUGCUACAGCUAGCGUUAGCUCCCGACCCACAUCCACCAGCGUCAGCAGAAGGAACGAGGCGGUAAUUAAUCUGUGCAGAGACGAGGAUUGUCCACAUGGACAGUGAGCUGAUAUUUAGCACAGCGCCGCUGGGACCUGAAGCUAACGUGGCCUCGGCUCAGGCCUGUCGGAGAUCCACAGCGUGUCAGAGGCCUCAGUGGAUAAGUGGGACAGCAGCAUGUAUGGAGCUCCACU